rnacentral:rRNA from 1 species
CCUACGGGAGGCAGCAGUGGGGAAUAUUGCACAAUGGGGGAGACCCUGAUGCAGCAACGCCGCGUGAGUGAAGACGUAUUUCGGUAUGUAAAGCUCUAUCAGCAGGGAAGCAAAUGACGGUACCUGACUAAUGAGCCCCGGCUAACUACGUGCCAGCAGCCGCGGUAAUACGUAGGGGGCAAGCGUGAUCCCGAUUUACUGGGUGUAAAGGGAGCGUAGACGGCUAAUCAAUUCAGAAGUGAAAACCCAGGGCUCAACCUUGGGAGUGCUUUUGAAACUGAGGAGCUAGAGUGCAGGAGAGGUAAGCGGAAUUCCUAGUGUAGCGGGGAAAUGCGUAGAUAUUAGGAGGAACACCAGUGGCGAAGGCGGGUUACUGGACUGUAAAUGACGUUGAGGCUCGAAAGCGUGGGGAGCAAACAGGAUUAGAUACCCCAGUAGUC